GGGGAUUUAGCUCAGUGGUAGAGCACUUGCCUAGCAAGCACAAGGCCCUGGGUUCAGUCCCUA
rfam:Rattus norvegicus chromosome 1, whole genome shotgun sequence.